UACGGGGGGGGCAAGCGUUGUUCGGAAUUACUGGGCGUAAAGGGCUCGUAGGCGGCCAACUAAGUCCGACGUGAAAUCCCCAGCUUAACCUGGGAACUGCGUCGGAUACUGGAUGGCUUGAAUUCGGGAGAGGGAUGCAGAAUUCCAGGUGUAGCGGUGAAAUGCGUAGAUAUCUGGAGGAACACCGGUGGCGAAGGCGGCAUCCUGGACCGGUAUUGACGCUGAUGCGCGAAAGCCAGGGGAGCAAACGGG
rnacentral:rRNA from 1 species